UUAAGGGGUAUUAGGCUAAGAUUCAAAGGGAGAAAAGAGAGAUGAAAGAACUUGCAUAAGUUGAACUACAUUCAUCCACUUUCAAACAACAACUUUUCUUUUUCUUUUUUUCUUUUUCAGAAGGAAUAUGUAAUGACAUUCUUCUUUACUUUUUUCCACUUUUUUUCUUCUUCUUUUUCUACAUUUUUUUCUGCCAACUUUGAAUAAAAUAUCACAACUAUAGUUAUUCAACCACACACAACUCCAAACAAGACUCUUUCAACCCUAUGAAUGGAUGAUAACAUUGUUUUUCAUAUUCAGGCUUGUAAUGAAUUUAAA
rnacentral:lncRNA from 1 species